rnacentral:sRNA from 1 species
AAGGAGCUCUCCAUGGUGCGGAUCCCGAGCCGCGCCGCCGCGCGCUUCCUGGCCCGGAAGCUCAACCGCAGCGAGGCCUACAUCGCGGAGAACGUGCUGGCCCUGGACAUCUUCUUUGAGGCCCUCAACUAUGAGACCGUGGAGCAGAAGAAGGCCUAUGAGAUGUCGGAGCUGCUUGGUGUGUGUGCAGGGCCCCCAGGGCUGGGAGUUGUGGGCAGGCAGGUGGCUGUGAGUUGAAGGGUGACCCUGUCUCCACAGGUGACAUUGGGGGCCAGAUGGGGCUGUUCAUCGGGGCCAGCCUGCUCACCAUCCUCGAGAUCCUAGACUACCUCUGUGAGGUGUUCCGAGACAAGGUCCUGGGAUAUUUUUGGAACCGACGGCACUCCCAAAGGCACUCCAGCACCAAUCUGGUAACAGCCCCUCUUCUGGAGCCCCUGCCUGCUCCAAGGGUGCUAGGCCCCACCCCUGAAGCCUAGACCACCAUCCCGCCCCAGCUGAGGAGAAACAGGCAGGAGGGUGUGCAGUGACCUUGACUGGUCCCUGGGAGGAGGACCACUCCCCACCUCUGACCCUCUCGUCCUCACACAGCUUCAGGAAGGGCUGGGCAGCCAUCGAACCCAAGUUCCCCACCUCAGCCUGGGCCCCAGGUAACACAUAAUGGCUCCCUAAAAUCAAGGGAGGGCAGGGGCAGGCACAGGACAGUGGGUGUGCCGGUUCCCACCCCAGCACUCUGCUCUGUUCCGAAGACCUCCCACCCCUCACUGUGCCGUCACCAAGACUCUCUCCGCCUCCCACCGCACCUGCUACCUUGUCACACAGCUCUAGACCUGCUGUCUGUGUCCUCGGAGCCCCGCCCUGACAUCCUGGACAUGCCUAGCCUGCACGUAGCUUUUCCGUCUUCACCC